AUCCCAUGAUGAGGACAUGCGGCCAUGUAUUCCUGAAGUCAUUCCCACGCCUCAGGAAUGGACUCAUCCCUCGUCUGCUGAAAACUAGAAAUCCUCCCAUGAAGAGC
rfam:Oryza meridionalis cultivar OR44 (W2112) chromosome 11, whole genome shotgun sequence.